rnacentral:rRNA from 1 species
UACAGGGGGUGCAAACGUUGCUCGGAAUCAUUGGGCGUAAAGCGCAUGUAGGCGGCUUUGUAAGUUAGAGGUGAAAGCCCGGGGCUCAACUCCGGAACUGCCUUUAAGACUGCAUCGCUUGAAUCCAGGAGAGGUGAGUGGAAUUCCGAGUGUAGAGGUGAAAUUCGUAGAUAUUCGGAAGAACACCAGUGGCGAAGGCGGCUCACUGGACUGGUAUUGACGCUGAGGUGCGAAAGCGUGGGGAGCAAACAGG